rnacentral:rRNA from 1 species
CAGUCGCCACGGGAAUACGAAGGGUGCAAGCGUUACUCGGAAUUACUGGGCGUAAAGCGUGCGUAGGUGGUGGUUUAAGUCCGUUGUGAAAGCCCUGGGCUCAACCUGGGAAUUGCAGUGGAUACUGGGUCGCUAGAGUGUGGUAGAGGAUAGUGGAAUUUCCGGUGUAGCAGUGAAAUGCGUAGAGAUCGGAAGGAACAUCUGUGGCGAAGGCGGCCCCCUGGACAAAGACUGACGCUCAGGUGCGAAAGCGUGGGGAGCAAACAGGAUUAGAUACCCCCGUAGUCCCUGUCUCUUAUAC